rnacentral:lncRNA from 7 species
UUGCUAACGAGUGUAUGAGUGAGAUUGUCACCGGUCUUGCAUAUUCGACUCAUGUAUCACACGUUGAUCAGUUGGUCCAACCCCUGCCUUUCAUUUAUGCAUGGCCCGAUGUCACAUUACUUCUUUCUCACUGGUAGCUGGCGCUGCUCCCGUCGAUCUGUCGCUGUGAUCUGUUUACCCCGUACAGUACGUGUGCAGUUAUCGCGUGCAUGUCGACUGUUAACUGCUGCUAACAUAGCUAGGGGCCUAGGGCCUAGGGAUGGGAAGGCGAGACCACCGGAGGACAUGAGCGUCGGCGUCGGCAUCGGCACCGGCACCGGCACCGGCACCGGCACCAGGCGCACAGCACAUUAGCACUCCACUCCAGCAGUGGGCCGGCCCGGGGACACAGUCCUGUCGUCGUGCAGGUGCAGCAGCAAGGUGCCGGGGGCGCGCGACGAAGUGAUGGUCGAGCACAUUGCGCUUCUCAGACUGUCAGACGUCGUACUACAGGGUACGGGUCGACCCAUCGGCUGGGGCGGGGAUCUCUGGACCUACGAAUUUGCAUCGGAUUGAAAUUCGGAUAUUGCCAAAUGCUAAUGUAAAACAGAUGUCUUAGAUUCGAAUUUGAAUAUCUACUUAGUCUUAAAAAUACUAUGUAUCUAUUACACAAUUGUGACAUCACACAGUGGAUAAAAACAACUAAAAAUAAAAAAU